AGCGUAGGCGGGUUAUCAAGUUGGAGGUGAAAGCCCAGGGCUCAACCUUGGAAUUGCCUUCAAAACUGAUAACCUUGAGUAUGGGAGAGGUAAGUGGAACUCCGAGUGUAGAGGUGAAAUUCGUAGAUAUUCGGAAGAACACCAGUGGCGAAGGCGACUUACUGGACCAUUACUAACGCUGAGGCUCGAAAGCGUGGGGAGCAAACA
rnacentral:rRNA from 1 species